rnacentral:rRNA from 1 species
UACAGAGGUCCCGAGCGUUGUUCGGAUUCAUUGGGCGUAAAGGGUGCGUAGGUGGCGCCGUAAGUGGGGUGUGAAAUCCCGGGGCUUAACCCCGGGACUGCAUUCCAUACUGCGGUGCUUGAGGACUGGAGAGGAGACUGGAAUUUACGGUGUAGCAGUGAAAUGCGCAGAUAUCAGGAGGAACACCGAUUGCGAAGGCAGCUCGCUGGAACGUUACUGACGCUGAGACGCGAAAGCGUGGGGAGCAAACAGG